GGGGGGGGGGGGGGGGGGGGGGGGGGGGCCUCCGCCUCCCGUUUAAUGAAAGACAGAGAGCAGAUGACAGAAACAAUUUGUCAGCCCGCGCGGGUGUCAGAUGCCUAAUUGGUUGCGCUGAGUUAGUGGGAAGUGAAGGGGGAGAGGGUCGGGGCUGGGGGGGCUCUUCCCCGGCUGUCCGCGCCGGGAGCGGGGGCCCGGAGCGCUCGCUGUUAAUUGACGGCCGCUGGGACACAGAUUGGCUGGGGCAGUGACGAGCGGGGGACACCCGCGCACAGCUGGCACUUGUCACCGCGCCUCGGCCUCGGGCAGCGGGGACACUGCCCGUGGUGCUGGCCCGCUGCUCGGUCCGGUCCCGGUCCCGGUCCCGUCCCGGUUCCAUUCCGGUUCUAUCCCUGUUCCAUCCCGGUUCUAUCUCUGUUCCAUCCCGGUUCCGUCCCGGUUCCAUUCCGGUUCUAUCCCUGUUCCAUCCCGGUUCUAUCUCUGUUCCAUCCCGGUUCCGUCCCGGUUCCAUUCCGGUUCUAUCCCUGUUCCAUCCCGGUUCUAUCUCUGUUCCAUCCCGGUUCCGUCCCGGUUCCAUUCCGGUUCUAUCCCUGUUCCAUCCCGGUUCUAUCUCUGUUCCAUCCCGGUUCCGUCCCGGUUCCAUUCCGGUUCUAUCCCUGUUCCAUCCCGGUUCUAUCUCUGUUCCAUCCCGGUUCCGUCCCGGUUCCAUUCCGGUUCUAUCCCUGUUCCAUCCCGGUUCUAUCUCUGUUCCAUCCCGGUCCUGUCCCAGUUCCAUCCCUGUUCCAUCCUGCUUCCAUUCCAGUUGUAUCCCUGUUCUAUCCCUGUUCCAUCCCACUCCUAUCCCGGUUCCACCCCGCUUCCAUCCCUGUUCCAUCCCUGUUCCAUUCCAGUUCCAUCCUGAUGCCAUCCUGGUUCUAUCCCUGUUCCAUCCCAGUACCAUUCUGGUUCCAUCCCAGUUCCAUGCUGGUUCUACCCCACUCCUAUCCCGGUUCCAUCUCACUCCUAUCCCGGUUCAAUCCCUGUUCCAUUCCAGGUCCAUCCCGCUCUCAUCUCGCUCCUAUCCCGGUUCAAUCCCAGUUCCAUCGCGCUCCCAUCUCGCUCCUAUCCCGGUUCAAUCCCAGUUCCAUCCCACUCCCAUCUCACUCCUAUCCCAGUUCCAUCCCAGUUCCAUCCCAGUUCCAUCCCGCUCCCAUCUCACUCCUAUCCCGGUUCAAUCCCUGUUCCAUUCCAGGUCCAUCCCGCUCUCAUCUCGCUCCUAUCCCGGUUCAAUCCCAGUUCCAUCGCGCUCCCAUCUCGCUCCUAUCCCGGUUCAAUCCCAGUUCCAUCCCACUCCCAUCUCACUCCUAUCCCAGUUCCAUCCCAGUUCCAUCCCGCUCCCAUCUCGCUCCUAUCCCGGUUCAAUCCCAGUUCCAUCCCGCUCCCAUCUCACUCCUAUCCCGGUUCCAUCCCAGUUCCAUCCCGCUCCCAUCUCGCUCCUAUCCCACUCUCACGCCGCUCCAGGCUCAGCUCUGCUCCCACCCUCUGGCUCAGAGAGCAGCCGAGACCUUGGCACGGGAUUUGGGGCUCUGGGGAAAAGCUGAACCCCCAAAACCAGAGCCCAGCUCGGGUUUUGUCUGCCCUGAACCCUGUCAAGGAAAAUCUCCGUGUCCCGCCUGCUCCUGUCCCUGCCUCGCUACGACCCCGUUUUAAACCCCAGAUUAAGGCAGAGCAGAGCUCGUGUAUGGAUCAGCUGCUGCUGGCGCUUUGCAGGUUCUUUGCACAAAGUUUGGGGCUCCGGGGAAGAGCUGAAACCCCCAAAACCAGAGCCCAGCCCGGGUUUUACCUUCCCUGAGCCCCGCCAGCCUUUGCACUGAGAGAUCCUGGGAAAAUCUCCGUGUCCCGCCUGCUCCCGUCCCCGCCUCGCUGCGAGCCAGCCUUAAACCCGAGAUUAAGGCAGAGAGAGAUCCUGGGAAAAUCUCCGUGUCCCGCCUGCUCCCGUCCCCGCCUCGCUGCGAGCCGGCCUUAAACCCGAGAUUAAGGCAGAGCGGAGUUAAUGUAUGGACCAGCUGCUGCCGGGGCUUUGCGGUGCCCGCGGGUCAGCGGCAGUAAAGCCCAGCCUGAUUAAUUCUGCCCUGGUCAUUAUGCGGAGGAGAAAAACCUCCUGUCCCCACAAAAACGGGAAUCGGCAGCUUCCGGAGGGGGAGCAGGACAAAGCCCGAGGUCCAAAGCCCCGUCAGGAGCAGGAACCGGCCUCGUUUCUGGAAUGUUCUGUGAUUUUCUGAGAGCUCUGAGCUAUUAAAGCGUUCAUCAGCAGCAGCAGGCACGGCAGGGCUCAGCUCAGCCCUUCCCCCCGAAACAACAGACCAGGAAAGGGCAAAACUCGAGCCCAGGAAAAGCCAAAACUCGAGCCCAAUAAAAGCUAAAACCUGAGCCCAAGGAAGGCUGAAACACAACAGACCCAAGGAAAGCCAAAACUCAAGCCCAGGAAAAGCCAAAAUUCAAGCGCAGGGAAGAAAGGCCAAAAUUUGAACCCUGAAAAGGUAAAACUUGAGCCUUAAAAUGCUGAAAUUUGAGCCCAGGAAAGGUCAAAACUCGAGCUCAGAAAAGGUAAAACUCAAUCCAGAAAAAAAAAAAAAAAAAAAGCCCAGAAAAGGUAAAACUCAAACCAGAAAAAAAAAAA
rnacentral:lncRNA from 12 species